GUCUUAACCCAGGCGAGGCACACAGGAGGACACCAAGCCCUGGUCUCCAACCUCAACCCUGCACAGCCUGCUAGUCCCACGCUAAAGUGAUUGAGGAAUGGCACAGAGACGGGAGCGAACCCCCAGGGAGGCACCAGGCGAGUUGCCGGAAAGGAAGAGUUCGCUACAGGACAGACAGCCAUGCUAAAAUACUUACCUUGGACAUAAGCUAAGCUUUAAGUUUGUUGUUUAUAACUUCAAAGAGAGACAAGGGACAGUGACUUAAGAAUAUUCUAAGCUAUAAAUUUACAUGUGGACUUUGCUACACACCUGGGAUGCAGCCAGAUGAGUUUUGUUCCAUUGCAGUACAUCUGAUGACCAGAAUUCUAUCAGAGAAUGUUAAUGAACGAAAAGCCUGAGCUUUAAGACUGAGAUUGGUACCACGGGUAGUCAUGGCCACCUGCUGGCAGCGUAGGGUACUGCAGCCCAGCUAUGGUUCAGACUAAAAGCCGAGAAACGCCUGUGGUCCAGGGAAAGGUAUGAAGAUCAUAUAAACCGGCGGUGGACAGGAAAUGCCACAGUCAAGAAGAUGCCCCUGGGAUGCUGAGCUCUUACAACUCGAAAUCAACAGCUUUUACAAAUAAAACCGCUGCAAAAGCAAUAGCUCUUACAAAUAAAACUGAUAAUUUGGACUUCUGGGCACCAAAUGUUUUCAUAACGAAAACAUCAAUUAUGCAUUAUAAUACCAAGUACACCUUACACUUACUGAUUCUUCUCCUUAACUUUCAGUGUAUUCCUUUAGGAGAUUGUCGCACCUUGGUCAGAAUACAUCGACAGUUUUAUAAUAGAACAGAAAAGCUUCCAUUUGCAGCAAUAUAUUUUAGUUGGCUUGUUGAAACACAUCUCUCUUCCUGAAAGCAAGCAAUUCUUGAAGUGGAUCAACCUUGUCAUCAUAUCCCUUUUAUUCUUCACCCUUUUAUUCUUCACUGGUAUGACAGUCCCUAUACCAUCUUAGCCACUGCUUUUUUGUUUCUACUUAUUUUCCAUCCCCCCUGCCUGCCCCCCAUAGCAAAAUGAAGGCAUGCCGGGAAGCAGCAACUCAACAUAAAAAGAGGACCCUCC
rnacentral:lncRNA from 1 species